rnacentral:rRNA from 1 species
ACGGGUGAGUAAUACAUCGGAACGUAUCCUGGAGUGGGGGAUAGCCCGGCGAAAGCCGGAUUAAUACCGCAUACGCUCUGAGGAGGAAAGCGGGGGACCUUCGGGCCUCGCGCUCAAGGGGCGGCCGAUGGCGGAUUAGGUAGUUGGUGGGGUAAAGGCCUACCAAGCCGACGAUCCGUAGCUGGUCUGAGAGGACGACCAGCCACACUGGGACUGAGACACGGCCCAGACUCCUACGGGAGGCAGCAGUGGGGAAUUUUGGACAAUGGGGGCAACCCUGAUCCAGCAAUGCCGCGUGUGUGAAGAAGGCCUUCGGGUUGUAAAGCACUUUUGUCCGGAAAGAAAUCAUCGGGGCCAAUACCCCUGGUGGAUGACGGUACCGGAAGAAUAAGCACCGGCUAACUACGUGCCAGCAGCCGCGGUAAUACGUAGGGUGCGAGCGUUAAUCGGAAUUACUGGGCGUAAAGCGUGCGCAGGCGGUGCUGUAAGACCGAUGUGAAAUCCCCGGGCUUAACCUGGGAACUGCAUCGGUGACUGCAGCGCUGGAGUAUGGCAGAGGGGGGUGGAAUUCCACGU